rnacentral:rRNA from 1 species
UACGUAGGGUGCGAGCGUUAAUCGGAAUUACUGGGCGUAAAGUGUGCGCAGGCGGCCGCGCAAGUCGAGUGUGAAAGCCCCGAGCUUAACUUGGGAACUGCGCUCGAAACUACGAUGCUCGAGUAUGGCAGAGGAAGGUGGAAUUCCACGUGUAGCGGUGAAAUGCGUAGAGAUGUGGAGGAACACCGAUGGCGAAGGCAGCCUUCUGGGCCAAUACUGACGCUCAUGCACGAAAGCGUGGGGAGCAAACAGG